rnacentral:lncRNA from 1 species
AGCCAUUAUAAUGUGAAACCACUUCUUUCUUUACAGUAUUUGACCAAAUUUGUGUGUCUAUGAUAUUUGUAAAUACAUGCGAUAUCUGUAUUUCUUAUCAUAAGCCUGUUUAGUUUUAUUCUCAGUAGGGUUUUUGGACUGUACAGUGUUUAUAUGAUCUGAACUCCUUAUACAUAAGAAGGUGUGUAUAUUAAUCCAAUUAUGGACUUAAAAUAUUUUAAAAGUAUAAAUACCCUUAUUUGCUGCAAAGACCAGUGUGUAGACAUUUGCUUUUUAGCAAUAUUUUUAAGUGCUCCAUUUUAAUGCCAAGGAAUAAGUCUUUUGGCGACACAAACUGGUCAAUAAUAGGUAAUGCAGGUAUGUUCAGGUUAAGCCAACGAUGUUUUGCAUUUUUAUGCUUCUUUUCUGUCAACACUAAUGAAGUCAACAUUGCCUGAAUGUCUGAAUAAUGAAACACAUCCCUGUUUAAAAGUAUGUAACUGAAAAAGAAAUAAAAAAUAAAGGUAGUUUUUUUAAACUUGCUCUUUCCCCUUUCCUCUGAUCAUGGGUAAAAUAAUGCCACUCACUAACUGAAGAUAGAAAUUUUUAAAAUUCAGUUUAUGUGAAUAAAUUUAGUAUAUGUGAAAAGCAGAGCUGAAGGAACGUUCUUUUGUGUUUUUGAUUUUUGUUUUGCUUUGUUGGAACUCUAUUGUAAGCAGUAUGUAGCUGGGUGUAUCCAAGCUUUCUUUAAUGAAAGUUUAAACAAAUUUUUUAUUUCUCCGAACUCUUUAAUAGAGCAAUUAAUUAGAACUAAUGCCAUUAAUAAACAAAGGAAAUAAACUGUAUCAUUUCAUCCCUUUUAAAAAAUGAAGUCAUACUAUUAUGUUUCCAGAAAUGAAGUAUUAUUGCUCCAGUUUGAAGUGAAUGACUUUAAGAUCAUUGCAGAUGCAGAGCACAUAUCUGUGGCAGUAUCUCACAGUUCAUCAUUGUGCUGUUCACUCUAGGGGGUUUUACAAGAUGCUGCUGUGCUUACUGAAAGAUGGCAAAGGUAAGGAAAUUUACUUCAUAGGAAUACAUGGAUCAUAACCAAAGAAAGGACUACAUAUACAAGUAUUAUCAGGUUUGGCUGGUAGAAGACCAAAAGGGAGCACUGAGAAUUGAAAGUGCUUAUUUUUCAUAUUCAAGAAAGGUAAAGGCUGUUCUUCAGUCAAAGUCCCAAGUUGUGAACAAGUAACCACUGGGAAUCAAGAUAACUUCCAAUUAAUUCAAAAGCUCUGAAAAUGAAUCAGUAACAUCACAC